UGGAAAUGCAAAAAUGUAGCAAAAAAUAUAACCACAAAGUGAAAGUAUUGAGGAAAAGUCUACCGAAGGGACAAUGAGAUUGUUUGUACAAGUGUAGCAUAGACUAGAGAGUUGAGCACAUUGAAGUGGUAGGAUAAAAGAGAUAGAAGGGCAUACAUAAGAUGAUAUGAAAGGAAGUAGUGAAAAAGAACCUAGUGACCUUAGAACUUUUUGAAGAUGUAGCCGUAAACCACAUAGAAUGGAGGAAACAGAUUUAUAUAGCAAGCCUCUACUAGUUUGGUAUAAACCCUUAGUUGAGUACAAUUGAGUAAUUAAUUAAAUUAUGACUGGAUACAGUAUCUUCAAUCUAGAGCAUAGUAAAUUAAGCAAGUAGGAUAAUGACCGCAUCUAUUAUCAAUAUACAGCUAAACUCAUCUCAACCCAUCUCAAUCUCAAUCCUAACCCUACUGAAGCUGGCUAUUUAUUGUUUUCUUCUAUUCUGCUUGGUUUAAUCAAUGACAAAUUUCGGUACAGAAAAAUUACCAUAAAUAAUUUUCCCUGUUCCACAAAAGAUGAUAUAACCAUCAAGCUAGAAGAGAAAGUACCUAUUAUCACUAAAUUAUUAUCUCCUAAUAUCAUCAUUAUCUUCAAACUAAUUUGGUUGUCGUUUUUUUCUUCUUAACACAGUUCCAUCAAUCCCAGGUUUCAUAGAAAGCAUGCACUAUGCAUCUUUAGAAAGGUUGCUAAAUCCUUGUUCAUUACUUCAGCAUCAUAAAGGUCUAGCACUACAGCAAGUCAUAUAGCCAGUGAAAAAUUAUUUCAAAUAUCAAUGAUACAGAUCCAUUACUCUGAGAAACUUUAUGAAUUAAAUUUUUGAGAAGGGAAAAAAGGUAAAUAAAGACAAGACAUGUUCAAACAAUUCACAUAUAACUUAGUAAUCAUUAAGUGAUAGAGAUUCAAGAAAGCAAAUAAACAUCAGGAAACAAUAUAAAUGGAUGGCAUAAACUUACUAAGUAGGUGGAUGAUAUGAUGU
rnacentral:misc_RNA from 1 species